CGGCACGCUUCAUACAUGCAAGUCGAGGGGCAGCAUAAAGUACUUGUACUUUGAUGGCGACCGGCGAACGGGUGCGUAACGCGUAUGCAACUUACCUUUUACUAGAGAAUAGCCAAGAGAAAUUUUGAUUAAUGCUCUAUACUCUUUUUAACUCACAUGAGUUUUUAAGAAAAGCUCCGGCGGUAAAAGAUGGGCAUGCGUCCUAUUAGCUUGUAGGUGAGGUAACGGCUCACCUAAGCUCCGAUAGGUAGGGGUCCUGAGAGGGAGAUCCCCCACACUGGUACUGAGACACGGACCAGACUUCUACGGAAGGCAGCAGUAAGGAAUAUUGGACAAUGGAGGAAACUCUGAUCCAGCGAUGCCGCGUGAAGGAAGACGGCCCUAUGGGUUGUAAACUUCUUUUAUACAGGAAGAAACCUUUCCACGUGGGAAAGCUGACGGUACUGUAAGAAUAAGGAUCGG
rnacentral:rRNA from 1 species